UACGUAGGCAGCAAGCGUUGUUCGGAGUUACUGGGCGUAAAGGGUGCGUAGGCGGCUUUUUAAGUUUGGUGUGAAAUCUCCCGGCUCAACUGGGAGGGUGCGCCGAAUACUGAGAGGCUAGAGUGUGGGAGAGGAAAGUGGAAUUCCUGGUGUAGCGGUGAAAUGCGUAGAUAUCAGGAGGAACACCGGUGGUGUAAACGGCUUUCUGGACCAUAACUGACGCUGAUGCACGAAAGCGUGGGUAGCAAACAGG
rnacentral:rRNA from 1 species